CUUUUAAUUGUUAUGUCUACAGCUCGAUGCUAGCUUUCUAAAAACCUCUUUCUAUGACUGAAAAUCUACAAUAGCGAAAGAAUUUUAUAUGAUCUUCGUGGAACUAUCGUAUAUUCACGUUUUGUAUUCAAUUUCAAAAUCUCAACAUCUUUAAAUUAAUAUCUUUCUUCGAAAUACUAAUUAUCCCGGACCUAUAAAUAGAAAACUCACGAAGUGUAACCAUCUGACGAAGUAAUUACGUUCCCCCAUUGUUCCACUUCUAACAAAUAGCUUUCGCUUUUACAUUGUGAUGUAACCGCUCCUUCUUACAUUGUGAUGUAACCGCUCCCUGCGAUAUAAUCAAGGUUAAUGAAUUGUAAUCGUGGUCAGAUAGAAAGAUAGGUGUUGCGAACUGUAGAUGGUAAUUGAUAGUAGCAUCGACUAUUCAUGUGUGUUGUUUUCUUUAGAAUGUGAGUAGACUUUUCUUUAGAAUGUAGGAGGACUUUUCUUUAGAAUGUAGGAGGACUUUUCUUUAGAAUGUAGGUAGACUUUUCUUUAGAAUGUAGGAGGACUUUUCUUUAGGAUGUAGGAGGACUUUUCUUUAGAAUGUAGGUAGACUUUUCUUUAGAAUGUAGGAGGACUUUUCUUUAGAAUGUAGGUAGACUUUUCUUUAGAAUGUAGGUAGACAUUUCUUUAGAAUGUAGGUAGACUUUUCUUUAGAAUGUAGGUAGACUUUUCUUUAGAAUGUAGGAGGACAUUUCUUUAGAAUGUAGGUAGACUUUUCUUUAGAAUGUAGGAGGACUUUUCUUUAGAAUGUAGGAGGACUUUUCUUUAGAAUGUAGGUAGACUUUUCUUUAGAAUGUAGGUAGACUUUUCUUUAGAAUGUAGGAGGACUUUUCUUUAGAAUGUAGGAGGACUUUUCUUUAGAAUGUAGGAGGACUUUUCUUUAGAAUGUAGGAGGACUUUUCUUUAGAAUGUAGGUAGACUUUUCUUUAGAAUGUAGGAGGACUUUUCUUUAGAAUGUAGGUAGACUUUUCUUUAGAAUGUAGGUAGACUUUUCUUUAGAAUGUAGGAGGACUUUUCUUUAGAAUGUAGGAGGACUUUUCUUUAGAAUGUAGGAGGACUUUUCU